CCUACGGGUGGCAGCAGUAGGGAAUUUUGCGCAAUGGGCGAAAGCCUGACGCAGCAACGCCGCGUGAUCGAGACGCCCUUCGGGGUGUAAAGAUCUGUCAGUGGGGACGAAACUUGACGGUACCCACAGAGGAAGCACCGGCGAACUCCGUGCCAGCAGCCGCGGUAAUACGGGGGGUGCAAGCGUUGUCCGGAAUCAUUGGGCGUAAAGGGUUCGUAGGCGGCACGUAAAGUCUGGUGUUAAAGGCAGAGGCCCAACUUCUGUACGGCACUGGAUACUUGCGAGCUAGAGUGCGGUAGAGGUAAAGGGAAUUCCUGGUGUAGCGGUGAAAUGCUUAGAUAUCAGGAGGAACAGCGGUUGCGUAAGCGCUUUACUGGGCCGUAAUUGACGCUGAGGAACGAAAGCCAGGGUAGCAAAUAGGAUUAGAUACCCCGGUAGUC
rnacentral:rRNA from 1 species